rnacentral:rRNA from 1 species
GUGGGGAAUUUUGGACAAUGGGCGCAAGCCUGAUCCAGCCAUUCCGCGUGAGUGAAGAAGGCCUUCGGGUUGUAAAGCUCUUUCGCAAGGGAAGAAAACUUACCAUCGAAUAAAUGGUGAGGCUGACGGUACCUUGAUAAGAAGCACCGGCUAACUACGUGCCAGCAGCCGCGGUAAUACGUAGGGUGCGAGCGUUAAUCGGAAUUACUGGGCGUAAAGCGUGCGCAGGCGGUUUGGCAAGUCAGAUGUGAAAUCCCCGAGCUCAACUUGGGAACUGCGUUUGAAACUGCCAGACUAGAAUAUGUCAGAGGGGGGUAGAAUUCCACGUGUAGCAGUGAAAUGCGUAGAGAUGUGGAGGAAUACCAAUGGCGAAGGCAGCCCCCUGGGAUAAUAUUGACGCUCAUGCACGAAAGCGUGGGGAGCAA